rnacentral:rRNA from 1 species
AGAGUUUGAUCCUGGCUCAGGAUGAACGCUGGCGGCGUGCUUAACACAUGCAAGUCGAACGAAGCAAUUUAGCGGAAGUUUUCGGAUGGAAGUUAAAUUGACUGAGUGGCGGACGGGUGAGUAACGCGUGGGUAACCUGCCUCACACUGGGGGACAACAGUUAGAAAUGACUGCUAAUACCGCAUAAGCGCACAGGACCGCAUGGUCUGGUGUGAAAAACUCCGGUGGUGUGAGAUGGACCCGCGUUUGAUUAGCUAGUUGGUGGGGUAACGGCCUACCAAGGCGACGAUCAAUAGCCGACCUGAGAGGGUGACCGGCCACAUUGGGACUGAGACACGGCCCAAACUCCUACGGGAGGCAGCAGUGGGGAAUAUUGCACAAUGGGGGAAACCCUGAUGCAGCGACGCCGCGUGAGUGAAGAAGUAUUUCGGUAUGUAAAGCUCUAUCAGCAGGGAAGAAAAUGACGGUACCUGACUAAGAAGCCCCGGCUAACUACGUGCCAGCAGCCGCGGUAAUACGUAGGGGGCAAGCGUUAUCCGGAUUUACUGGGUGUAAAGGGAGUGUAGGUGGCCAUGCAAGUCAGAAGUGAAAAUCCGGGGCUCAACCCCGGAACUGCUUUUGAAACUGUAAGGCUAGAGUGCAGGAGGGGUGAGUGGAAUUCCUAGUGUAGCGGUGAAAUGCGUAGAUAUUAGGAGGAACACCAGUGGCGAAGGCGGCUUACUGGACAGUAACUGACGUUGAGGCUCGAAAGCGUGGGGAGCAAACAGGAUUAGAUACCCUGGUAGUCCACGCCGUAAACGAUGGAUACUAGGUGUAGGAGGUAUCGACCCCUCCUGUGCCGGAGUUAACGCAAUAAGUAUCCCGCCUGGGAAGUACGAUCGCAAGAUUAAAACUCAAAGGAAUUGACGGGGGCCCGCACAAGCGGUGGAGUAUGUGGUUUAAUUCGACGCAACGCGAAGAACCUUACCAAGUCUUGACAUCCUGCGACGAUGCUGGAAACAGUAUUUUCCUUCGGGACGCAGAGACAGGUGGUGCAUGGUUGUCGUCAGCUCGUGUCGUGAGAUGUUGGGUUAAGUCCCGCAACGAGCGCAACCCCUAUCCUUAGUAGCCAGCAGUAAGAUGGGCACUCUAGGGAGACUGCCAGGGAUAACCUGGAGGAAGGUGGGGAUGACGUCAAAUCAUCAUGCCCCUUAUGACUUGGGCUACACACGUGCUACAAUGGCGUAAACAAAGUGAAGCGAAGUCGUGAGGCCAAGCAAAUCACAAAAAUAACGUCUCAGUUCGGAUUGUAGUCUGCAACUCGACUACAUGAAGCUGGAAUCGCUAGUAAUCGCAGAUCAGAAUGCUGCGGUGAAUACGUUCCCGGGUCUUGUACACACCGCCCGUCACACCAUGGGAGUCAGUAAUGCCCGAAGUCAGUGACCCAACCGUAAGGAGGGAGCUGCCGAAGGCAGGACCGAUAACUGGGGUGAAGUCGUAACAAGGUAGCCGUAUCGGAAGGUGCGGCUG